rnacentral:rRNA from 1 species
GAUGAACGCUAGCGGCAGGCUUAAUACAUGCAAGUCGUGGGGCAGCAUGAAUGUAGCAAUACAUUUGAUGGCGACCGGCAAACGGGUGCGGAACACGUACACAACCUUCCUAUAAGUGGGGAAUAGCCCAGAGAAAUUUGGAUUAAUACCCCGUAACAUAACGAUGUGGCAUCACAUUGUUAUUAUAGCUUCGGCGCUUAUUGAUGGGUGUGCGGCUGAUUAGAUAGUUGGCGGGGUAACGGCCCACCAAGUCUACGAUCAGUAGCUGAUGUGAGAGCAUGAUCAGCCACACGGGCACUGAGACACGGGCCCGACUCCUACGGGAGGCAGCAGUAAGGAAUAUUGGUCAAUGGACGCAAGUCUGAACCAGCCAUGCCGCGUGAAGGAUUAAGAUCCUCUGGAUUGUAAACUUCUUUUAUCUGGGACGAAAAAAGGCUUUUCUAAGUCACUUGACGGUACCAGAUGAAUAAGCACCGGCUAACUCCGUGCCAGCCGCCGCAGUAAUAC